CGCACCUUGCACUCUUUGGUAUUCCGAAGAGUAUGUCUGUUUGAGUGUCAUGAAACUCUCAACCCCCUUAUUCUGUAAUGGAACAAGCGUUUGGGUUGGAUUAUGGCUGGCUGCCGGCUUGUUACAAGUCGGCUCGGCUAAAAUAUACGAGCUGCCAUCGAAUGAUAACGGUCUGACUCGGCGUAAUAGCAUAUUUCGCUGAGGACGUUUGAACUUCAAAGGCGCUUCUAGUGUGACUCUUUACGAGUUCAAUUUUAAGCUUAGACCUCAAAUCAGAUAGGACUACCCGCUGAACUUAA
rnacentral:misc_RNA from 1 species